rnacentral:rRNA from 1 species
GAUCCUGGCUCAGGACGAACGCUAGCGACAGGCUUAACACAUGCAAGUCGGAGGGGCAGCGAGGGAGUGGCGAACACUUCUGUCGGCGACCGGCGCACGGGGUGAGUAACGCGUAUGCAACCUGCCCUUCACAGGGGGAUAACCGGGAGAAAUUCCGACUAAUACCGCAUACGUCCUUUGGGGGCAUUCCCCCUGGGGAUGAAAGAGUUAUCGGUGAAGGAUGGGCAUGCGUGAUAUUAGGUAGUUGGCGGGG